rnacentral:rRNA from 1 species
AUUGAACGCUGGCGGCAUGCUUUACACAUGCAAGUCGAACGGUAACAGGCCGCAAGGUGCUGACGAGUGGCGAACGGGUGAGUAAUGCAUCGGAACGUGCCCAGUCGUGGGGGAUAACUACUCGAAAGAGUAGCUAAUACCGCAUACGAUCUAUGGAUGAAAGCGGGGGACCGUAAGGCCUCGCGCGAUUGGAGCGGCCGAUGUCAGAUUAGGUAGUUGGUGGGGUAAAGGCUCACCAAGCCAACGAUCUGUAGCUGGUCUGAGAGGACGACCAGCCACACUGGGACUGAGACACGGCCCAGACUCCUACGGGAGGCAGCAGUGGGGAAUUUUGGACAAUGGGCGCAAGCCUGAUCCAGCAAUGCCGCGUGCAGGAAGAAGGCCUUCGGGUUGUAAACUGCUUUUGUACGGAACGAAACGGCUCUGGUUAAUACUCGGGGCUAAUGACGGUACCGUAAGAAUAAGCACCGGCUAACUACGUG